UUUUUUUUUUUUUUUUUUUUUUACUGUCCUCUACUUACCUACUUUACAGAAGCGAAAAGAGUUUGUCUAAAAUAAUCCCCUUAAUGAAAAUUCCAUACUGGUUGAGUCAGAGUGUCUAAAUAAUACUAUAGCAAGUCAGCUGACUGACAACUGUCUGUGACUAUGAUUAGUACUAUUCAAGUGUUUUAAUUAUUUUUAGGUGACCGCCACAGUGGAUCAGAGCAGAAGAAGCUUGACAUUAACAGUAGAAGAGGAACUUCACCUGGCUGAAAACAUGAUGCUGAACUGCAUGUGCAGAUGCCAGCGGACCUAAAUAUGCCAACAGCAGCAGCAGCAGCAUGGGGAGAGAUAAGCUGGCAGAAGACACUGGGAAAUCCACAAGAUUAAUAGCAAUCCACCAAGCAUCCUCAGUGCCAUGUGAGAGGGUGUUUUCCGAAGCUGGGGAAAUCAUUUGUAAGAAGAUGAACCACCUUAAGGCAGGCAGAGUGAAGCUUCAAGUCUUACUGAACCACCAGAGCUGCAGGAGAAAGGAUUGAAUCUCGUCUGCAGCUAUUUCCUUGACGGCUGGAGAAGAGCUGUGUCAAGUCAGAGGGGCAUUUUCUUGGUGUCAGGUGCCUAACACCCUGCUAAUGGAAGGCAGGAAUUCUCUGGGGCUUUUCCCUGGACGCAAAGGCUUUAACAUUUACUUUAAGUCUCUCACUCAAAUUGUGGCAUGAUUGACGUGUGGAUAUUCAGGUGAGGGUUCAACCUGGUCUGGUGAAGUUGGCUGAAUAGCAGCUCACUACAGAGAUUUUUAAUUAAGGCAUUUAACAUAGAUCUGCCUG